GCAGGGAUAGCUCAGUUGGUUAGAGCACCAGAUUGUGGAUCUGGGGGUCCCGGGUUCAAGUCCCGGUCCCUGUA
rnacentral:tRNA from 2 species